GCGUAUUAGCUUGUUGGUAGGGUAGAAGCCUACCAAGGCAAUGAUGCGUAGCCGAGUUGAGAGACUGGCCGGCCACAUUGGGACUGAGACACUGCCCAAACUCCUACGGGAGGCUGCAGUAGGGAAUUUUCCGCAAUGCACGAAAGUGUGACGGAGCGACGCCGCGUGUGUGAUGAAGGCUUUCGGGUCGUAAAGCACUGUUGUAAGGGAAGAAUAACUGAAUUCAGAGAAAGUUUUCAGCUUGACGGUACCUUACCAGAAAGGGAUGGCUAAAUACGUGCCAGCAGCCGCGGUAAUACGUAUGUCCCGAGCGUUAUCCGGAUUUAUUGGGCGUAAAGCGAGCGCAGACGGUUUAUUAAGUCUGAUGUGAAAUCCCGAGGCCCAACCUCGGAACUGCAUUGGAAACUGAUUUACUUGAGUGCGAUAGAGGCAAGUGGAACUCCAUGUGUAGCGGUGAAAUGCGUAGAUAUGUGGAAGAACACCAGUGGCGAAAGCGGCUUGCUAGAUCGUAACUGACGUUGAGGCUCGAAAGUAUGGGUAGCAAACGGGAUUAGAUACCCCGGUAGUCCAUACCGUAAACGAUGGGUGCUAGUUGUUAAGAGGUUUCCGCCUCCUAGUGACGUAGCAAACGCAUUAAGCACCCCGCCUGAGGAGUACGGCCGCAAGGCUAAAACUUAAAGGAAUUGACGGGGACCCGCACAAGCGGUGGAGCAUGUGGUUUAAUUCGAAGAUACGCGAAAAACCUUACCAGGUCUUGACAUACCAAUGAUCGCUUUUGUAAUGAAAGCUUUUCUUCGGAACAUUGGAUACAGGUGGUGCAUGGUCGUCGUCAGCUCGUGUCGUGAGAUGUUGGGU
rnacentral:rRNA from 1 species